CCUACGGGAGGCAGCAGUGAGGAAUAUUGGUCAAUGGGCGAGAGCCUGAACCAGCCAAGUCGCGUGAAGGAUGACGGCCCUAUGGGUUGUAAACUUCUUUUGUCAGGGAGCAAUUGAGUCCACGUGUGGGCUUAGCGAGAGUACCUGAAGAAAAAGCAUCGGCUAACUCCGUGCCAGCAGCCGCGGUAAUACGGAGGAUGCGAGCGUUAUCCGGAUUUAUUGGGUUUAAAGGGUGCGUAGGCGGAAUAUCAAGUCAGCGGUAAAAUUUCGGGGCUCAACCCCGUCGGGCCGUUGAAACUGGUGUUCUUGAGUGGGCGAGAAGUAUGCGGAAUGCGUGGUGUAGCGGUGAAAUGCAUAGAUAUCACGCAGAACUCCGAUUGCGAAGGCAGCAUACCGGCGCCCAACUGACGCUGAAGCACGAAAGCGUGGGGAUCGAACAGGAUUAGAUACCCUAGUAGUC
rnacentral:rRNA from 1 species